rnacentral:tRNA from 1 species
GCGAGGGUGGCGGAAUUGGCAGACGCGCUAGAUUUAGGUUCUAGUGUCCUUCGGACGUGGGGGUUCGAGUCCCCCCCUUCGCA